UACGAAGGGUGCAAGCGUUACUCGGAAUUACUGGGCGUAAAGCGUGCGUAGGUGGUCUGUUAAGUCUGAUGUGAAAGCCCCGGGCUCAACCUGGGAAUGGCAAUGGAUACUGGCAAGCUAGAGUGCGGUAGAGGGUAGUGGAAUUCCCGGUGUAGCGGUGAAAUGCGUAGAUAUCUGGAGGAACACCGGUGGCGAAGGCGGCGUUCUGGACUGCAACUGACACUGAGGAACGAAAGCCAGGGGAGCAAACGGG
rnacentral:rRNA from 1 species